rnacentral:rRNA from 1 species
UACGUAGGGUGCGAGCGUUGUCCGGAAUUACUGGGCGUAAAGAGCUCGUAGGUGGUUUGUCGCGUUGUCCGUGAAAACUCACAGCUCAACUGUGAGCGUGCGGGCGAUACGGGCAGACUGGAGUACUGCAGGGGAGACUGGAAUUCCUGGUGUAGCGGUGGAAUGCGCAGAUAUCAGGAGGAACACCGGUGGCGAAGGCGGGUCUCUGGGCAGUAACUGACGCUGAGGAGCGAAAGCGUGGGGAGCGAACAGG